rnacentral:rRNA from 1 species
CUUGACAUCCAGAGAAUUUAGCAGAGAUGCUUUAGUGCCUUCGGGAACUCUGAGACAGGUGCUGCAUGGCUGUCGUCAGCUCGUGUUGUGAAAUGUUGGGUUAACGUCCGCAACGAGCGCAACCCUUAUCCUUUGUUGCCAGCACGUAAUGGUGGGAACUCAAAGGAGACUGCCGGUGAUAAACCGGAGGAAGGUGGGGAUGACGUCAAGUCAUCAUGGCCCUUACGAGUAGGGCUACACACGUGCUACAAUGGCGCAUACAAAGAGAAGCGACCCCGCGAGAGCAAGCGGACCUCAUAAAGUGCGUCGUAGUCCGGAUUGGAGUCUGCAACUCGACUCCAUGAAGUCGGAAUCGCUAGUAAUCGUAAAUCAGAAUGUUACGGUGAAUACGUUCCCGGGCCUUGUACACACCGCCCGUCACACCAUGGGAGUGGGUUGCAAAAGAAGUAGAUAGCUUAACCUUCGGGAGGGCGUUUACCACUUUGUGAUUCAUGACUGGGGUGAAGUCGUAACAAGGUAAGCGUAGUGCU